rnacentral:rRNA from 1 species
AUUGAACGCUGGCGGCAGGCCUAACACAUGCAAGUCGAACGAGUGGCGGACGGGUGAGUAAUGUCUGGGAAACUGCCCGAUGGAGGGGGAUAACAACUGGAAACGGUAGCUAAUACCGCAUACCAUCGGAUGUGCCCAGAUGGGAUUAGCUAGUAGGUGGGGUAACGGCUCACCUAGGCGACGAUCCCUAGCGGUUCUGAGAGGAUGACCAGCAACACUGGAACUGAGACACGGUCCAGACUCCUACGGGAGGCAGCAGUGGGGAAUAUUGCACAAUGGGGGCAAGCCUGAUGCAGCCAUGCCGCGUGUAUGAUGAAGGCCUUCGGGUUGUAAAGUACUUUCAGCGAGGAGGCGUUACUCGCAGAAGAAGCACCGGCUAACUCCGUGCCAGCAGCCGCGGUAAUUC